rnacentral:rRNA from 1 species
UCCCNUAGUAACUGCGAGUGAAGCGGGAAGAGCUCAAAUUUAAAAUCUGGCGGUCUUUGGNCCGUCCGAGUUGUAGUCUGGAGAAGUGCUUUCCGCGCUGGACCGUGUACAAGUCUCUUGGAACAGAGCGUCAUAGAGGGUGAGAAUCCCGUCUUUGACACGGACUACCAGUGCUUUGUGAUGCGCUCUCAAAGAGUCGAGUUGUUUGGGAAUGCAGCUCAAAAUGGGUGGUAAAUUCCAUCUAAAGCUAAAUAUUGGCGAGAGACCGAUAGCGAACAAGUACCGUGAGGGAAAGAUGAAAAGCACUUUGGAAAGAGAGUUAAACAGUACGUGAAAUUGCUGAAAGGGAAACGCUUGAAGUCAGUCGCGUCGUGCAGGACUCAGCCUUGCUUUUGCUUGGUGCACUUUCUGUACGACGGGCCAGCAUCAAUUUUGACCGUCGGAAAAGGGCUGAGGGAAUGUGGCACCUUCGGGUGUGUUAUAGCCUUCAGUCGCAUACGGCGGUUGGGAUUGAGGAUCGCAGCGCGCCGCAAGGCAGGGGUUCGCCCACUUUCGCGCUUAGGAUGCUGGCAUAAUGGCUUUAAACGACCCGUCUUGAAACACGGACCAAGGAGUCUAACUUACCUGCGAGUGUUUGGGUGGAAAACCCGAGCGCGUAAUGAAAGUGAAAGUUGGGACCUCUGUCGUGGAGGGCACCGACGCCCGGACCUGACGUUCUCUGACGGAUCCGCGGUAGAGCAUGUAGGUUGGGACCCGAAAGAUGGUGAACUAUGCCUGAAUAGGGUGAAGCCAGAGGAAACUCUGGUGGAGGCUCGUAGCGAUUCUGACGUGCAAAUCGAUCGUCAAAUUUGGGUAUAGGGGCGAAAGA